rnacentral:rRNA from 1 species
GACGAACGCUGGCGGCAUGCCUAAUACAUGCAAGUCGAGCGAACAGAUGAAGUGCUUGCGCUUCUGACGUUAGCGGCGAACGGGUGAGUAACACGUAAGGAAUCUACCUAUAAGCGGGGGAUAACAUUCGGAAACGGGUGCUAAUACCGCAUAAUAUCUUCUUCCGCAUGGAAGAAGAUUGAAAGACGGCUCUGCUGUCACUUAUAGAUGACCUUGCGGUGCAUUAGUUAGUUGGUGGGGUAAUGGCCUACCAAGACGAUGAUGCAUAGCCGACCGGAGCGGGUGAUCGGCCAAAUGGGGACUGAGACACGGCCCAAACUCCUACGGGAGGAAGCAGUAGGGAAGCUUCCGCAAUGGGCGAAAGCCUGACGGAGCAAUGCCGCGUGAGUGAAGAAGGCCUUCGGGUCGUAAAACGCUGUUAUAAGAGAAGAACAAAUUGUAGAGUAACUGCUACAGUCUUGACGGUAUCUUAUCAGAAAGCCACGGCUAACUACGUGCCAGCAGCCGCCGUAA